GCUUACGGCCAUACCACCCUGAGCGCGCCCGAUCUCGUCUGAUCUCGGAAGCCUAAGCAGGGUCGGGCCUGGUUAGUACUUGGAUGGGAGACCGCCUGGGAAUACCAGGUGCAGGAGCA
rnacentral:rRNA from 1 species